GUGCCAGCAGCCGCGGUAAUACGAAGGGUGCUAGCGUUGUUCGGAAUUACUGGGCGUAAAGGGCGCGUAGGCGGUUUAACAAGUUGGAUGUGAAAGCCCAAGGCUCAACCUUGGAACUGCAUUCAAGACUGUUUUACUUGAAUUCGGUAGAGGAUGGUGGAAUUCCCAGUGUAGAGGUGAAAUUCGUAGAGAUUGGGAAGAAUAUCCGUGGCGAAGGCGGCCAUCUGGACCGACAUUGACGCUGAGGCGCGAAAGCGUGGGGAGCAAACAGGAUUAGAUACCCGGGUAGUCC
rnacentral:rRNA from 1 species